GUGUUCUCCAGUGCCAAGUACCCUGCUCCAGAGCGCCUGCAGGAAUAUGGCUCCAUCUUCACGGGCGCCCAGGACCCUGGCCUGCAGAGACGCCCCCGCCACAGGAUCCAGAGCAAGCACCGCCCCCUGGACGAGCGGGCCCUGCAGGUCUGCUGGCUGCGCACAUAACUUAGCCUGUCACACACCAGGAGGACUGGAUACUGGGGAGGAGCCGGGGCCACCAUAGGGUUCUGUCCCCCAGAGGAGGCUGACUGGGAUGGGGUGGCAGCUGAUUAGGCCCAGCACCAAAUAUUCACCAUCCCUUGGCCAUCCUGGCCCUCUCAGGAGAAGCUGAAGGACUUUCCUGUGUGCGUGAGCACCAAGCCGGAGCCCGAGGACGAUGCAGAAGAGGGACUUGGGGGUCUUCCCAGCAACAUCAGCUCUGUCAGCUCCUUGCUGCUUUUCAACACCACCGAGAACCUGUCCCAGAGAACUACUUCUAUGUGCCAGACCUGGGCCAGGUGCCUGAGAUUGAUGUUCCAUCCUACCUGCCUGACCUGCCC
rnacentral:lncRNA from 1 species